rnacentral:rRNA from 1 species
GACGAACGCUGGCGGCGUGCUUAACACAUGCAAGUCGAACGAAGAGCGAUGGAAGCUUGCUUCUAUCAAUCUUAGUGGCGAACGGGUGAGUAACGCGUAAUCAACCUGCCCUUCAGAGGGGGACAACAGUUGGAAACGACUGCUAAUACCGCAUACGAUCUAACCUUGGCAUCGAGGAUGGAUGAAAGGUGGCCUCUAUUUAUAAGCUAUCACUGAAGGAGGGGAUUGCGUCUGAUUAGCUAGUUGGAGGGGUAACGGCCCACCAAGGCGAUGAUCAGUAGCCGGUCUGAGAGGAUGAACGGCCACAUUGGGACUGAGACACGGCCCAGACUCCUACGGGAGGCAGCAGUGGGGAAUCUUCCGCAAUGGACGAAAGUCUGACGGAGCAACGCCGCGUGAGUGAUGACGGCCUUCGGGUUGUAAAGCUCUGUUAAUCGGGACGAAAGGCCUUCUUGCGAAUAGUAGAAGGAUUGACGGUACCGGA